rnacentral:rRNA from 1 species
GUUGUCAAGUCAGGUGUGAAAUCCUACAGCUUAACUGUAGAACUGCACUUGAAACUGGCAACCUAGAGUAUGGGAGGGGGAGAUGGAAUUAGUGGUGUAGGGGUAAAAUCCGUAGAUAUCACUAGGAAUACCUAAAGCGAAGGCGAUCUCCUGGAACAUUACUGACGCUAAGGCGUGAAAGCGUGGGGAGCAAACAGGAUUAGAUACCCUGGUAGUCCACGCCCUAAACGAUGAACACUAGUCGUCGCCCUGCUUGUCAGGGCGGUGAUGCACUUAACAGAUUAAGUGUUCCGCCUGGGGAGUACGGUCGCAAGAUUAAAACUCAAAGGAAUAGACGGGGACCCGCACAAGUGGUGGAGCAUGUGGUUUAAUUCGAAGAUACGCGAAAAACCUUACCUGGCCUUGACAUUGAUAGAAUCCAGCAGAGAUGCAGGAGUGCCCUUCGGGGAGCUUGAAAACAGGUGCUGCACGGCUGUCGUCAGCUCGUGUCGUGAGAUGUUGGGUUAAGUCCCGCAACGAGCGCAACCCUCGUCCUUAGUUGCCAGCAGGUUAAGCUGGGCACUCUAGGGAGACUGCCUUCGCAAGAAGGAGGAAGGUGAGGACGACGUCAAGUCAUCAUGGCCCUUACGGCCAGGGCUACACACGUGCUACAAUGGGGCGUACAGAGUGUUGCAAUACCGCGAGGUGGAGCCAAUCACUUAAAGCGUCUCUCAGUUCGGAUUGUUCUCUGCAACUCGAGAGCAUGAAGCUGGAAUCACUAGUAAU